rnacentral:lncRNA from 10 species
UUAGUUCUCACACUAAUGACAUCAAGUUUGUUCACACUUCUCUGUACCAUUGCCUUUGGGUAGUCCUCUUGUCCACUGACAAUAGACUUGACCAUGUCACUUUCUUUGAUCAGUGAGACAAGCAAAGAAUUGAAACGUGAUGGACCAUUGGAACUUUUCUUCUUUUGCUGAUUUUGGAAACCUGCUGGAUAACAAAGACUGGCCCAGUUUACCCCUUCACCUCAGCUGACAGCCAGCCAGCCCUCGGAGCUGUGACACCUACUUGACUGCAUCUGCUUGAUAAAUAAGAAGAACCAGCUGGUACCUGUAACAUAAAAGAACAGCAAGAAUACAGAAACAAAGCAAAUCAUGAUUCAGAAUGUCACAAUCAUCUUGGAUCUUUGCACUUGCAUCACAAUGUUGGGGAUCUUUUUAUCUUCAUGUAAAGAAGCCCUGGCUAGCCUAAUGUAGGAACCACCUGCAGCAGAAACAAGCCAUCCCAACGGAGGAGCCCUAAUGCCAAACAAGAAAGUUGCAACCAUCCUAAACUCUUCAGCCCCAAGCAAAUCACCAGCCCCAGUCACAUCACCAGCUGAUGGUAGAAA